rnacentral:rRNA from 1 species
UACGAAGGGGGCUAGCGUUGCUCGGAAUCACUGGGCGUAAAGGGUGCGUAGGCGGGUCUUUCAGUCAGGGGUGAAAUCCUGGAGCUCAACUCCAGAACUGCCUUUGAUACUGAGGAUCUUGAGUCCGGGAGAGGUGAGUGGAACUGCGAGUGUAGAGGUGAAAUUCGUAGAUAUUCGCAAGAACACCAGUGGCGAAGGCGGCUCACUGGCCCGGUACUGACGCUGAGGCACGAAAGCGUGGGGAGCAAACAGG